AUCCACCUGCCUUGGCCUCCCAAAGUGCUGGGAUUACAGGUAUCAGCCACCUUGCCUGGCCACUUCAACUUUUUCCAAUGAUGAAAAACCUUUAUGUUCCACACAAGGAACUCUCUCAAUACAGGAUACCUGAUCUAUCACUGAAUAAUCAAAUAACAAUGACACACAAGUACAAGAGACAUAUGAGCAAAGUCAUAUAAAUUAAGGCUGCACCAUAAUUAAGUAGUUAUCAGGUGACUGUUGAAGAACCUAAAAGUGAGGCCCUAGGUGAGAAACAAAAAAAUCAAAAUGGAAGUUUUUAGCAAAUCAGUAGUUGUACCCAAGGGCCAUAUAAGAAAUCUAAUGAUAUAGUGGGGAGUGGCCUACACAGCUAUUUUUUUUGAUGAAGGGAUAUAGAACCACUCAGAGCAAUUUUUAAAAAAUCCAGAAAUACACUUUUAUGGAAAUAGGUUUUUAAAUGUUGGUUUAAAAACAGAGCAUCACCCUUUCACCAAAGUCUGGAGGCCAAACAGACUACCAGUCUGGAGUCUAUUUUAUUGCAGCAUUUUAACAUCAGUGGUAUUCCAACAGUGAGCAGAUGAAAAUACUCAGUAGUUAGUUACUGUCCUACAUCUUAUACAAAGUCCUAAAAUGUAAUGACUUCAUUACAUUUUAAAUGGCAAGCAGCAUUUCACUACUUAUAAAAUAAAUUCGAUUCACAUAUAUAAUUACUAAUCAGAACUACCUUUUAUCCCAUUUCUACUAGGCUAUAUGAUAGUGAAAGCACCAGAAUAAAUUGGGAGUACUUACUAUAUUACAAAUUACACAGUAUUAUAUUCCAUUUCAAAUAUUCUUUUAUUCAUUCUAAUUAAGACUAGUACUGGUCACCAGAACACUUACUGAGGCAAACACUUCUGUUUUAGGUUACAGACCUAGAGAAACACAAAAAACAAAACAAAAAAAGAAUGAAGCUCCUAAAUAUCUGAUUAUCCAGAACUUCAACUGGAAUAACCUAAUAGUUUUCCUGAUGAUUAAUCAAUCAUGGGAAAAAUAAUUUACUAUAUCAAAGUAUAGGGCAAGAGCAAAAGUAUUUUUUCCUUCAAGUUAAUGACAAAAAAAAAAAAAAUU